GUCUAGAGUCAUGUCACCCUGAACAAGCCGGAUGACUGAUCUUGGAAGCUAAGCAGGGUUGGGCCUGGUUAGUACUUGAAUGGGAGACCACCUGGGAAGACCAGGUGCUGUAGGAA
rnacentral:rRNA from 1 species